UUUGAAGUGUCAGACAAGAGGACAUAGGACAACCGCCCACCCUGACCUCCUCGGCUGUUCUGGUUGGCUCUGCUUAGAGCACAGUCUGCUGUUGUCCAUGCCUGGGCGUCCCCAGAUGCCACUUGGGGCCUGAGCAAACUUUCGUCCUGAACCCCAAAUAUCAUAGCAGCUGCCCCAGGGCUAGGAGCCAUCCCGACGAUCCCCCAGUGGCCUCUUCUGGACAUUUAUGGCCAGGAAGCUCAUGUGAAGUUGCCAGAUGGGAGGUUCCUGCACCAAGGGACUGGCCCAGGGCUUGCUGGCCGGACACCGCCGUUUGGCAUUCCAUCACCAUCCAGAGACACAGAGACACAGACAGGACACUCCAGCCUCAGGGACUCCAGUGCCUGGACCGGGGCCACCUCAGCCUUGGACGUCCUGCCCAGCUACCUCCCCUUCCACCUGGAAUUCCUGCCCCCCUCAUCCCCCCAGGGUGUGCUUCCCAGAUCCUCAAGCUCCCUCUGGUGCAAUCAGCAGGGCCCAGUGGCACAUGAAAAAGGGCCACCGGUGAUUAAAAUUAAGUGUUGGUCCUGGC